UACAGAGACUGCGAGCGUUAUUCGGAUUCACUGGGCGUAAAGGGUGCGCAGGCGGCCAAGUGGGUGAGGCGUGAAAGCCUGGAGCUUAACUCCAGAAUUGCACCUCAAACUACAUGGCUAGAGCAUUGGAGAGGGUAGCGGAAUUCACGGUGUAGCAGUGAAAUGCGUUGAUAUGUGCAGGAACACCAAUGGCGAAGGCAGCUUCCUGGACGAGGACUGACGCUCAUGUUCGAAAGCCAAGGGAGCGAACAGG
rnacentral:rRNA from 1 species